rnacentral:rRNA from 1 species
AUGAACGCUGGCGGCGUGCCUUAAGCAUGCAAGUCAAGGGGGCUCCGCAAGGAGCAACCGGCGGACGGGUGAGUAAUGCGUAGGAAUCUACCUUAAAGUAUAGGAUAGCUUCGAGAAAUCGAGGGUAAUACUGUAUGUGCUGUGUACCGAAAGGUACAUGGUAAAGAUUUAUCGCUUUAAGAUGAGCCUGCGUCCUAUCAGUUUGUUGGUGGGGUAAUUGCCUACCAAGACUACGACGGGUAACUGGUCUGAGAGGAUGGUCAGUCACAAUAGCACUGAGACACGGGCUAUACAUCUACGGAUGGCAGCAACUGGGAAUCUUCGGUAAUGGGCGAAAGCCUGACCGAGCGACGCCGCGUGGAGGAUUGAAGGCCUUCGGGUUGUAAACUCCUUUUACGAGGGAAGAUUAUGACGGUACCUCGCGAAUAAGCACCUGCUAACUACGUGCCAGAAGCCUCGGUAAUACGUGGGGUGCAAGCGUUAUCCGGAUUCAUUGGGCGUAAAGUGUUGCGUAGGCGGUGUAGUGCAUUUUGCUUGAAAUGCUAUGGCUCAACCAUAGUUUCGGGCAAAAUAUGACUACACUUGAUGGCUUAAGAGGGUACUGGAACUGAUUAUGUAGCAGUGAAAUGCGUUGAUAUGAUUAGGAACACCAAAGGCGUAGGCAGGUACCUGGGAAGUUCAUGACGCUGAGGCACGACAGCUUGGGGAGCGAAGCAGAUUAGAGACCUGCGUAGUCCAAGCCGUAAACGAUGGAUGCUAGUUACCCGAAAUUUUUUGGGUGACGCAAGGUAACCCGUUAAGCAUCCCGCCUGGGGAGUACGAUCGCAAGAUUAAAACUCAAAGGAAUUGACGGGGAGGCGCACAAGCAGUGGAGCGUGUUGUUUAAUUCGAUACAAAGCGAAAAACCUCACCAGGGUUUGACAUGUACUUGCUAAGCCUAUGAAAGUAGGCCUCCUUCGAGGGUAGUACACAGAUGCUGCAUGGCUGUCGUCAGCUCGUGGCGUGAGCUGUACCGUUAAGUCGGGUAACGAGCGCAACCCGCACCGUAUGUUAAAUAAUUCAUACGGAACAGUCCCAAUUUUUGGGAAGGAAGGCGCGGAUGACGUCAAGUCAGCACGGCUCUUACACCCUGGGCUACAAACACCCUACAAUGGCGAAAAACAACGAGCCGCAAGCCAGUAAUGGCAAGCAAAUCUCUGAAAUUUCGCCCCAGUUCAGAUCGGGGGCUGCAAUUCGCCCCCGUGAAGUCGGAAUUGCUAGUAAUCGCGAAUCAGCAGGUCGCGGUGAAUACGUUCUCGCCUCUUGUACACACCGCCCGUCAAGGCAGCAAAGUUGGGGGCACCCGAAUAUCCCUACAGGGGUAGAAGGUGAAACCAGCGAUGAGGCUU